GUAUCUCGGAGCCUCUUUUUCUGUAAAAUGAAGGGGAUGAGUCAGAUGAUGUCGACCUGUCCAGCUAUAACACUGCCCUGAGACACCAGUUUCUCUGGCAUUACAAGCUGAACAUCAGGAGAAGAUUUCCUUAACAUCAUGAUUCUUAGAGGUUAUUACCAGUGCCAGGAUCAACUAAAGAAAAACUGUCUGGCCAGUUGUUCUGUGCUUAUGAGAUGCUAGAUAUUGUAAAUGUAAGUGGAGAUUUCAAGACAUGAGGUAGAAGUAGCAGCCAGAAGAUGAACCACCCCCAAGUGACUUUUUCUGAAUCCCCCUUUCCAGAAAGCUUAUGGCUGAAUCUUCUUUGUUAUGAAUGUACUCACAAUUCUUGUAGUGACUUAACAUUGUCUGAAGGCUUCCAUAGAAACCAGAAUUUCAGGCUGUAGAAGAACAGACUUGUAAUGAUGGAGUGCAAACAUGAGAAUGAGAAUCCUCCGAGGAGCAAAAACACAGUGAAAGUUUGCUGUUAAGGAUAAAGUUUGGAGAAAUUUCACAUAAAACAGGAAAAGAGAAGUAGAGAAAAAAAGAUUUCUCUUGUAUUCAGAAACCAAACUAAGGUAUGUGCUAAGAAUUUAUACAGAAGGCGAGUGUUUUGCAUAUUAAUAAGAGAAAUAAAAUAAAAUAAAAUAAAAUGUUUUCUGAUGGUCUGAACUUUUGUAAGGUACCUGAAACAGUAUGGUGUAGUGGAUGGAGGGCCAGCUUUGGAAUAAGGAGGAAAUAUUUAUAUUCAAGUCUAGCCUGUGACUAGGAUGGUGGAAAUUAGAUUAUAAACUUCUUCUUUUUUUUUUUAAUAACUUUUUAUUGAUAGAACGCAUGCCAGGGUAAUUUUUUACAGCAUUAUCCCUUGCAUUCAUUUCUGUUCCGAUUUUUCCCCUCCCUCCCUCCAUCCCUUCCCCCAGAUGGCAAGAGUCCUUUACAUGUUGAAUGGGUUGCAGUAUAUCCUAGAUACAAUAUAUGUGUGCAGAACCAAACAGUUUUCUUGUUGCACAGGGAGAAUUGAAUUCAGAAGGUAUAAAUAACCCGGGAGGAAAAACAUAAAUGCAAGCAGUUUAUAUUCAUUUCCAGUGUUCUUUCUCUGGGUGUAGCUGCUUCUGUCCAUCUUUGUUCAAUCAAGGCUCUCUUUAUCAAAGAGGUCCACUUCCAUCAGAAUACAUCCUCAAACAGUAUCGUUGUUGAGGUAUAUAAUGAUCUCCUGGUUCUGCUCAUUUCACUCAGCAUCAGUUCAUGUAAGUCUCGCCAGUCCUCUCUGUAUUCAUCCUGCUGGUAGUUCCUUACAGAACAAUAAUAUUCCAUAAUGUUCAUAUACCACAAUUUACUCAACCAUUCUCCAAUUGAUGGGCAUCCUUUCAUUUUCCAGCUUCUAGCCACUACAAACAGGGCUGCCACAAACAUUUUGGCACAUACAGGUCCCUUUCCUUUCCUUAGUAUCUCUUUGGGGCAUAAGCCCAGUAGAAACACUGCUGGAUCAAAGGGUAUGCACAGCUUGAUAACUUUUUGAGCAUAAUUCCAGAUUGCUCUCCAGAAUGGCUGGAUGUGUUCACAAUUCCACCAACAAUGUAUCAGUGUCCCUGUUUUCCCACAUCCCCUCCAACAUUCCCCAU